GGUGCUGGGAGUAGGGCGCAAGAUGUCGGCGGAUGCAGCUCCGAGGAGGUAGGCAGUGGGAGCCGGCGUUCAGUCCGGCCCGUGCCAACAGUGGUUCCUCUCUCCCCCGUAGUUCGAGGAGACCACGCGCUGCCCCUCUGGCACGAUCGUGGAUGAACCCCCUGGCAACUGAAAUGGGAAAGGCAGCGCCCCCGACUCUGGGGACUGGACCGAAGUCCACGGUAGUGACAGCUGCCAGACCCUGAGGAGAGGACGAGAAGACCCGAGGCCUCUGCUACGAACACUGGCAGCCGAUGGAAAAUUCAGACGGAUUUGGGACAGUAUGCAGAGUUCUCCAAGCGACAGAUUAACAGAGGCUCUUGAAGAAUAACUGCGUAAUCACGUGUUCUGCUCAAAAGAAGGCCUGAAUGCCCAGUGCCUUAUUUGGCUUUCAGGGGUCUUGCGGUGUCACCCAGGCUAGAGUACAGUGGUGCAAUCAUAGCUCACUGCUGCCUCAAACUCCUAGACUCAAGCAAUCCUCCUGCUUCAGCCUCCCGAGUAGCUGGGACUACAGUUUCCCCAUGUGUAUGCUGUGGUAUUGGAUCAGCAACGAGAUAAGAAGAUCUCUCCCAUUUCCAAGCGUCUAUGAUGAUUCUGAGGCACAAGGUCACAUUUGACAGUACUAGGAAACCCAGGAAACAAGAAGCAAAGAUGACAAAGGCUGUGUCUGCCUGGGCAGACGAUCUAUUUGGACAAGAUAAUAGACCCAGGCAUGGACAUGCUCUCCAAGAAAGAUGCCCUGACAGCUGCUCACACUGAAGCUGAAUCGAACAUUCCAAUCCUUAGAGGUUCCAGCGAAGAUCUUGAAGUCUCCCUGAGCCAUUGACACAAUGGCCAUGCCAUCCCAGUGAUAAAACACAAAUUGUGGCCUUGUUUUGGACAGAAAUAAAGAGCCCAGUUUGUUAGUGA
rnacentral:lncRNA from 1 species